UAUAAGUAGAGUAUAUGGAUGUUUAUUGCACUAUUUUUUCAACCUCUAUAAUUUUGAAAUUUUCACAAUAAAAAGUUGGGGACAAAAUUUUUAAAAUAAUAAUAACAGCACUUAUUCUCUACCUGGGACUGUACUAAAGGAUUUUUGUGCAUUUCAAAUUUAAUCCUUGAAACAACAAUACAAGGUAGUUAUAAUUAUUACCAUAGUUUUUCCUGACAAUGAAACUAAGGUACAGGGAAGUUAGGUGGUUUUCACAAAGUUACACGGAUAAUUCUAUCAAUGACAGGUGAGAUUCAAAUUGAGUAUAUCUAACUUGGAAUCCGUGUUCUGAAUAACAAAAGUAUAUUGACUCCUGAGCAUUCAAAGGAAAUAUUUCAAGUUCAGAAAAGUCAUUUUUCUAGGUCUUGAUAACCUCAAUCUUUAUUCUAAAGACCAAGCAGCGUGCGAGGUGAACCCAGAGAGAUGAAAACCCUAAUUCAAGACCCCAGAUGACAAGGCCACAUACCAUAAUGGUAGUCCAGGGCAUCUGCCUACUUGCAGGACCAGAUUCACUGUGUUCUUACAUCAAGAAACCUUUGCACUGGCUUGGUCUGUUUCCAGGAACUGGAACCAAUGGUUUUCUCCAGACACCCACAGGCAACGAGCCAACACUAAUAAUUUCAAAUAUAACUGGCUCUUAAGCCAGGUUUUAUUUCAACUCACUUCUCUCAUUGGCUAUAGAAUGACGAGGAUGAUGACAGCCACUAUUUAUUGAACCCUUAUUGUUUAUGUGCCACACACUAAGUUCUCUUCAUAUAGCACCUAGCUUAAUUAUUUCAACAACUCUGGGAGGCAUGUUCUAGAAGAAAAAUGAAACACAGACACUGAAAAUAGUAUGUAGGGCUGAGAUAAGACAAUUCCAGAAUAGUUACUUCUCACCACUGCAUGGCAGAGUGAGAGGUGCCAUCCCCAGAGAGCUCGUGUAUACUGGAACUAAGCAGAAUGGCCAUGAGCUCCUGGGUAGCAGCCACUUCAUCAUAUUCCCCACUGGGAACCAGAUGAAGGGAUGGCAUCAGGGGGGACAUUCUUACCCACUGGACACCUUCUGGGCUGGCAUCUGAUGAAGCCCUUUAAAGUCCACUAUCUUGUUCAAGGUGCAGGACCACACCGGAGCCAAUCAUUAUUACCUCCAUUUCACAGAGAAGAAAAUGACACUCAGGAAACUUAAGUGAUUUAUCCAGAGUCUCACAGUUAUGAAGUGGUUUCUGCUAUGUAAAAAACUUAAUAAAUGUUGGCUAAAUGAAAGCACGAAUGAAUGUAUAAACAUACAUAUAAUUUCAUAAAUUUAGAAACACAUGUUUUGUAAGCCAUACAUAUUUAUUCACCAAAGAAAAACUAUGGCCCGAACGCCCAAGGAUCCCCUGUCAAUAGAGGUAGCCCUGACGCUGAGGCCUGCAGGGAAUACCUGGCAGAAAGGAGGGAGGGAGCUGAGGAGGCCAACAGGAAGAAAGAAAAAGGACCUAGGGCCAAAUCCACAGAUCUGAGCAGGCACAAGAAAUCCAAGGCAACACCAACUCACCACAAGAAAUCAGAAUCUAGACUAGAGCACAGGGCAGGUGAAAAAAGGAGGACUUUUGAGCAGUGAUUCUGUUCAUGAGGAGGGUCUGGGAUAUAGUUCAAGAUGCCUGGUCUGGGCCACAGGGCCUGAUGGCUCAGGCAGAAACUAGAAUGUGAAGGGAGCUAAGGAAAAGGAGGCUGGACGGGGUGAUAUAGUUUGGCUGUGUCCCCACUCAAAUCUCAUCUUGAAUUGUAGUUCCCAUAAUUUCCACGUGUUGUGGGUGGGACCCAGUGGGAGACAACUGAAUCAUGGAGGUGGUUUUCCCCAUACUGUUCUUGUGGUAGUGAAUAAGUCUCACGAGAUCUGAUGAUUUUAUAAAGGGAACAUACUUUUGCUUGGUGUUCAUUUUCUCUCGUCUGCCACCAUGUAAGAUGUGACUUUUGCCUUCUGCCAUGAUUGUGAGGCCUCCCCAGCCACAUGGAUCUGUGAGUCCAUUAAACCUCUUUUUCUUUAUAAAUUACCCAGUCUCAGGUACAUCUUUAUCAGCAGCAUGAAAAUGGACUAAUACACGGGGCAACCUACCCCUGACUGGUCACUUUGGAAAACCAGGUGAAGAGAGCUCCCCCUGAGCUAAUUUGGAAAAGGCACCUGCUCUGGGUGGACAAAGGUACAAGACUCUGUAAAGAGAGCUCAGGUCAGAUUCUGGUCCCAACUUGUUCCCUCAGCCAGGAAUCUUUGGGCAGUGCACAAACCAUACAACUGUAUGAAGCAGACUUGAAGUUAAGCAGGUAGUUGGAGAAUCUGCAUCAGAUACCUCUUUGCCCCACUGCAGAGCCUCUGGACCUCACCUGUCUCUCAUUCCAGCUGUGUGGAUUUUGACCUCCUACAGACACAACCUGACUGCACCAAACCUCCGGCCCCAGUUCUUCUAUUGACAGAGGCCUCCUCCCCACUCCCCCACCAGAUGCCCAGACAAUGCAGGUGCAGCUCACAGGGCAGGGGUAGAACAUGCCCUCCUAUUAGCUCUUUCUAUGCUUGGUGCCCCACGUCCCUCGCUCCUGCUGAGAUUGAACUCCAUAAUAAAGUAAUAGCACCUGUGUCCUCCAUCUCUUACUUUGCUUUCUGGAAGCCUGCACUAAGGUAGAAUCAAUGGAAGCCAUGGGCCCACCCAGAAAAGUGCACAUACAAGCAGAAACUGGUACGGGUUCUCAGCGGGUUUGUGGCUCCCCUGAAGGCCAGUUUAAAAACCUCAGCCUUGAGGAGAAAGGUAGAAGUUACAGUUCCUGAGCAGAAGCAUGUUAGCUUUUUCUUACUCCUGGACACACCCCAGCUCUCUGAUUCUGAGGGUACUCAAGAAUUGAGCAUGGAGAAGGGAGCUCAACACAGCAGAGUGCAGCCUUCACUCACUUACCAGAAGCCCAAGCCUAGCCAGAGUGAGGCAGCCGUCAGAUUACUGAAGAACUAGAUGAAGAUUUAAAACGGAUUCCGAGAUGAGAGAGGGUAUUUCACCCCCACCACUCUCUGGGUUUUGAGCAGCCAUCUCCUAAUCUCUGCUUAUAUAGUCUUUUCACAAAAAGUCCUUUGCAUCUUAGCAAGAAGCAACAAAAUUGCUCUAUAAGAUAAACAAAAGGUUAAUUACAAAACCCUGCGUACUCCAGAAGCCCACAGGCAAGAACAGCUAUUUAUUUCCCCAGCUCACAGCUCUGUCUGCCCUGCUGCAGGUGUCUGUCCAAUGCAUGCAGCCAUCUGAAUCACUGCACCUGCUCCCACCACACAGCAAAAGAAAAUACCACCUGGGAUUUGGACAGUUUCCCAUAAAGCAUUCCAAAGUGAGUAUUCCAAAGACAGAAACAUUUGCCCUUUUGGAGACCUUGAAAGGAACCUUGGCAGUUCUCCCCAUUGUCUUCUAAGGAGGGAAGAAGAAUCCCUCAGACUGAUGCCCCAUCUGUGAUGAAUAUGCGUUCAAGAAGCUGGAGGAAACCACUAGCAAUUGCUGCAUGCACAUGUGCUGUGGAUGAACAGCUGCUUUUCACCAGCCCAGCUCCUCUGAAACUUCCCAUUGCAAAGGGAGCCACCAGACCCUGCACUUCCAGCACCACAAGCCAGCGCCAGCAGCAGUACAUGUCACAGGAGCCUCAUCAGAAAGUCGAAUCUGGCAGAGCUGUCUUCUGCCUGUAUCUCCAAUCCCAAUGACAAUCAGAACUAGGUGUGUGGCAAACAGGUGCUGAAAACCUCAGCCCCCAGAGUAUAAAGCAGCCCUCCUGACAUUUGCUGGAUUAGGGAUGAAUGCAUCUGGAAAUUGAGACAAUCAGGAAGCUAAUGUCACAUUUCCAGAUUUUCUGAAAACCUAAGCUGUGGGUGUUUAGUGAAACAAUGACGCAUUGUAAUAGGAAGCAUCAGCAACACUUUGCUGUGGUAAACUGCAGCCUCUGUACAGUCAGGCCACGCAGCCACACAUAGUGCAUGGAAAAUUUAAUUCAAAUAUUUAUUCUACAAAGACGCAUUCAUUGACAUUUAUGGAGACAGGCGGGUGGAGCGCAGUUUUCAAAUUGUUCUACUCUGCUGGAAGACCAGUAUUCCCAGGGCAUUCUUCAUCCAACAAGUAUUAAUUGAGCACCUACUAUGUGCCAGGUGCCCAUUUCGGGUCCAUACUCAAGCUGUGAGUAGCACAAACAGGAUCCCUGCAUAUGCGGAGUUUAACUUCUACUGGGAAAAAAGACACCAGACAACAUGCAUAAGCAAAACACCUAGUAAAUUGGAGAGCAACACAUACUGAGGAAAAAGUAAUGAAGCAGGGAAAAAGGGGACAGGAUGGUCAAGGCAGGUGGGUGGGAUUUUAGAUGGAGUUUCCAAAAGUCAUCAUAAGGCCAGGCGUGGUGGCUCAUGCCUGUAAUCCCAGCACUUUGGGAGUCCAAGGAUGGUGGAUCACCUGAGGUCAGGAGUUCAAGACCAGCCUGGCCACCAUGGUGAAACCCCGUCUCUACCAAAAAAAUAUAAAAAUUAGCCAAGCAUGGUGGCACGCACCUAUAGUUCCAGCUACUCAGGAGGCUGAGGUGGGAGAAUCGCUUGAACCUGGGAGGCAGAGGCUGCAGUGAGCCAAGAUCAUGCCACUGUAACCCAUCCUGGGCAACAGAGCAAGACCCUGUCUCAAAAAAAAAAAAAAAAAGAAAUUUGUUUUUUGAAAGGAGACUCUUUGGAGGUUUGAAGGAAGAUGGAGGGACAACCACUAGGACUAUUUAGAAACAAUCUCUAGGAUGAGUGACCACAGGCAGUAAGAGAAAAGAGGGAAGAUGCUAGUGAGAGCUGGGACUGAAGGAGAGUGAGGAAUUGGUUAUGUCUUCCAGAUUUUCAACUCAAUUCAAUGAGCAGAAAUUGGCAAGUUUGAAAAGGACUUGCCCAGAGGCAAUGGUGACAUCAGGGAGUGGAAGGUCAGGAAAGUUAGAAGGUCUAGAGAGAAUUGUCAAGGAUUAAUCCUUGAGGACACCAGUAUUUUAGGGGAAGGGAGAGAAAAAGGUAACCAAGAGCAUCAGAGAUAGUCGAGGCCCUAGAGGAUGCAGAGAGCCAGCGGGGGGUCCGACCAGCCAAGGGUGUCCAGCGAUGGGCAAGAGCGAAAUCCCAUCUCUACUUAAAAAAGAUUAGCGAGGCGUGGUGGCAUGCACCUGUAGUCCUAGCUACUUGGGAGGCUGACAUGGGAGGAGCACUUCAGCCCAGGAGUUGGAGGCUGCAGUGAGCUAGGAUCACACCACUGUACUCCAGCCUCUUAAAAAAAAGGAGCAAGGGAAGCCAAGAAGAGUCCAACAAGGAGGCUCAAGUGUGAGUUCUCACAUCAGCGAUGGCAGAUGGGCAGGGGUGGCAGUCCUGGGAAUGUGGGGUCAGGACAUUUCAGAAGGGUCUAUUCUAACAGGAUAAAAAUGAACAACAGAGCCUCCAUAUUUGCCAGCCAGAAACAUGUUUCUUCUACCCUAUGAAUCAGCAAAAUGGAGUUAAAACAAAUUCUUUGCUGAGGAGCGUUUAGAGUUCAAAUAGAAAUGACUGUGAGGAACCUGUGACUGCUUCCCC
rnacentral:lncRNA from 1 species